rfam:Triticum aestivum genome assembly, contig: Triticum_aestivum_CS42_TGACv1_scaffold_249191_3DL
UUGCUACUCCCUCCGUCCGAAAAUACUUGUCAUCAAAAUGGACUAGAAGGAAUGUAUCUAUAACUAAAAUACAUAUAUAUACACCUCUUUUUAUUCAUUUUGGUGACAAGUAUUUCCAGAUGGAGAGAGCNNNNN